rnacentral:rRNA from 1 species
AGAGUUUGAUCAUGGCUCAGAUUGAACGCUGGCGGCAGGCCUAACACAUGCAAGUCGAGCGGUAGCACAGAGAGCUUGCUCUCGGGUGACGAGCGGCGGACGGGUGAGUAAUGUCUGGGAAACUGCCUGAUGGAGGGGGAUAACUACUGGAAACGGUAGCUAAUACCGCAUAAUGUCGCAAGACCAAAGUGGGGGACCUUCGGGCCUCAUGCCAUCAGAUGUGCCCAGAUGGGAUUAGCUAGUAGGUGGGGUAACGGCUCACCUAGGCGACGAUCCCUAGCUGGUCUGAGAGGAUGACCAGCCACACUGGAACUGAGACACGGUCCAGACUCCUACGGGAGGCAGCAGUGGGGAAUAUUGCACAAUGGGCGCAAGCCUGAUGCAGCCAUGCCGCGUGUGUGAAGAAGGCCUUCGGGUUGUAAAGCACUUUCAGCGGGGAGGAAGGCGNNNNNNNNNNNNNNNNNNNNNNNNNNNCGAUUGACGUUACCCGCAGAAGAAGCACCGGCUAACUCCGUGCCAGCAGCCGCGGUAAUACGGAGGGUGCAAGCGUUAAUCGGAAUUACUGGGCGUAAAGCGCACGCAGGCGGUCUGUCAAGUCGGAUGUGAAAUCCCCGGGCUCAACCUGGGAACUGCAUUCGAAACUGGCAGGCUAGAGUCUUGUAGAGGGGGGUAGAAUUCCAGGUGUAGCGGUGAAAUGCGUAGAGAUCUGGAGGAAUACCGGUGGCGAAGGCGGCCCCCUGGACAAAGACUGACGCUCAGGUGCGAAAGCGUGGGGAGCAAACAGGAUUAGAUACCCUGGUAGUCCACGCCGUAAACGAUGUCGAUUUGGAGGUUGUGCCCUUGAGGCGUGGCUUCCGGAGCUAACGCGUUAAAUCGACCGCCUGGGGAGUACGGCCGCAAGGUUAAAACUCAAAUGAAUUGACGGGGGCCCGCACAAGCGGUGGAGCAUGUGGUUUAAUUCGAUGCAACGCGAAGAACCUUACCUGGUCUUGACAUCCACAGAACUUUCCAGAGAUGGAUUGGUGCCUUCGGGAACUGUGAGACAGGUGCUGCAUGGCUGUCGUCAGCUCGUGUUGUGAAAUGUUGGGUUAAGUCCCGCAACGAGCGCAACCCUUAUCCUUUGUUGCCAGCGGUCCGGCCGGGAACUCAAAGGAGACUGCCAGUGAUAAACUGGAGGAAGGUGGGGAUGACGUCAAGUCAUCAUGGCCCUUACGACCAGGGCUACACACGUGCUACAAUGGCAUAUACAAAGAGAAGCGACCUCGCGAGAGCAAGCGGACCUCAUAAAGUAUGUCGUAGUCCGGAUUGGAGUCUGCAACUCGACUCCAUGAAGUCGGAAUCGCUAGUAAUCGUAGAUCAGAAUGCUACGGUGAAUACGUUCCCGGGCCUUGUACACACCGCCCGUCACACCAUGGGAGUGGGUUGCAAAAGAAGUAGGUAGCUUAACCUUCGGGAGGGCGCUUACCACUUUGUGAUUCAUGACUGGGGUGAAGUCGUAACAAGGUAACCGUAGGGGAACCUGCGGUUGGAUCACCU